rnacentral:lncRNA from 1 species
AACGUCCAUCGAUCUUGACUCCGGUAUUCUUGCUUUGUGUUUUCUGGUUAUCAUAGUUAAUCCUGCACACUUAACUCAAUAAUAUGGAUUAGAUCAAUUAACCCAUCAAUUGAUUUCAUCAUCAAAAUCCGAGAUUCAACAAUCUCCCCCUUUUUGAUGAUGACAAUCAAUUGAUGACGGAGUUAAACAUAACUCCCCCUAUCUAUAUGCC